GUGCUCUAAAAUCUCCUGGUAGAUAGCUGUGUUGACUUUGGACUUGAUAAAACACAGUGGAUUAACACCAGCAGAUGACGUCAUCACUUACUGUG